rnacentral:tRNA from 1 species
GGACGUGUAGCUCACUAAUAUAGCGAGGGAUUGCAGAUUCCAAAGUCGGGGUUUCGAAUACCCCUGGGUCCU